rnacentral:tRNA from 1 species
GGAGUUGUGGUUCAGAGGUAGAGCGCUCGCCUAACAUGCGUGAGGCAGAUUUCGAUCCUCAGCACCA